UACGAAGGGAGCUAGCGUUGUUCGGAAUCACUGGGCGUAAAGCGCACGUAGGCGGAUUUGCCAGUCAGGGGUGAAAUCCCGGGGCUCAACCUCGGAACUGCCUUUGAUACAGCAAGUCUUGAGUUCGAGAGAGGUGGGUGGAAUUCCUAGUGUAGAGGUGAAAUUCGUAGAUAUUAAGAAGAACACCGGUGGCGAAGGCGGCCCACUGGCUCGACACUGACGCUGAGGUGCGAAAGCGUGGGGAGCAAACAGG
rnacentral:rRNA from 1 species